CACUACAGUAAUCCUGCUCAGUACAAGAUGAACUACAGGUUUAGACAUUCGGUGUGCUUGUCUGAGGAGCCAAUGGGGUGAAGCUACCAUCUGUAUAUUUUGACUGAAUGCCUCAACGAUAGAUUCCCCCCUAAAAGUG